GUGGCGGACGGGUGAGUAACACGUAGGUAACCUGCCCAGAAGCGGGGGACAACAUUUGGAAACAGAUGCUAAUACCGCAUAACAACGUUGUUCGCAUGAACAACGCUUAAAAGAUGGCUUCUCGCUAUCACUUCUGGAUGGACCUGCGGUGCAUUAGCUUGUUGGUGGGGUAAUGGCCUACCAAGGCGAUGAUGCAUAGCCGAGUUGAGAGACUGAUCGGCCACAAUGGGACUGAGACACGGCCCAUACUCCUACGGGAGGCAGCAGUAGGGAAUCUUCCACAAUGGGCGCAAGCCUGAUGGAGCAACACCGCGUGAGUGAAGAAGGGUUUCGGCUCGUAAAGCUCUGUUGUUAAAGAAGAACACGUAUGAGAGUAACUGUUCAUACGUUGACGGUAUUUAACCAGAAAGUCACGGCUAACUACGUGCCAGCAGCCGCGGUAAUACGUAGGUGGCAAGCGUUAUCCGGAUUUAUUGGGCGUAAAGAGAGUGCAGGCGGUUUUCUAAGUCUGAUGUGAAAGCCUUCGGCUUAACCGGAGAAGUGCAUCGGAAACUGGAUAACUUGAGUGCAGAAGAGGGUAGUGGAACUCCAUGUGUAGCGGUGGAAUGCGUAGAUAUAUGGAAGAACACCAGUGGCGAAGGCGGCUACCUGGUCUGCAACUGACGCUGAGACUCGAAAGCAUGGGUAGCGAACAGGAUUAGAUACCCUGGUAGUCCA
rnacentral:rRNA from 2 species